rnacentral:piRNA from 1 species
UAGGAACCACGUAGCUCCUCAUCCCUGGACU